CAGCCGCCACGGGAAUACGGAGGGUGCAAGCGUUAAUCGGAAUUACUGGGCGUAAAGCGCACGCAGGCGGUCUGACAAGUCAGAUGUGAAAUCCCCGGGCUUAACCUGGGAACUGCAUUUGAAACUGUCAGGCUGGAGUCUUGUAGAGGGGGGUAGAAUUCCAGGUGUAGCGGUGAAAUGCGUAGAGAUCUGGAGGAAUACCGGUGGCGAAGGCGGCCCCCUGGACAAAGACUGACGCUCAGGUGCGAAAGCGUGGGGAGCAAACAGGAUUAGAUACCCCGGUAGUCCCUGUCUCUUAUAC
rnacentral:rRNA from 1 species